rnacentral:rRNA from 1 species
UUAAGCGACUAAGCGUACACGGUGGAUGCCCUGGCAGUCAGAGGCGAUGAAGGACGUGCUAAUCUGCGAUAAGCGUCGGUAAGGUGAUAUGAACCGUUAUAACCGGCGAUUUCCGAAUGGGGAAACCCAGUGUGUUUCGACACACUAUCAUUAACUGAAUCCAUAGGUUAAUGAGGCGAACCGGGGGAACUGAAACAUCUAAGUACCCCGAGGAAAAGAAAUCAACCGAGAUUCCCCCAGUAGCGGCGAGCGAACGGGGAGCAGCCCAGAGCCUGAAUCAGUGUGUGUGUUAGUGGAAGCGUCUGGAAAGGCGCGCGAUACAGGGUGACAGCCCCGUACACAAAAAUGCACAUGCUGUGAGCUCGAUGAGUAGGGCGGGACACGUGGUAUCCUGUCUGAAUAUGGGGGGACCAUCCUCCAAGGCUAAAUACUCCUGACUGACCGAUAGUGAACCAGUACCGUGAGGGAAAGGCGAAAAGAACCCCGGCGAGGGGAGUGAAAAAGAACCUGAAACCGUGUACGUACAAGCAGUGGGAGCACGCUUAGGCGUGUGACUGCGUACCUUUUGUAUAAUGGGUCAGCGACUUAUAUUCUGUAGCAAGGUUAACCGAAUAGGGGAGCCGAAGGGAAACCGAGUCUUAACUGGGCGUUAAGUUGCAGGGUAUAGACCCGAAACCCGGUGAUCUAGCCAUGGGCAGGUUGAAGGUUGGGUAACACUAACUGGAGGACCGAACCGACUAAUGUUGAAAAAUUAGCGGAUGACUUGUGGCUGGGGGUGAAAGGCCAAUCAAACCGGGAGAUAGCUGGUUCUCCCCGAAAGCUAUUUAGGUAGCGCCUCGUGAAUUCAUCUCCGGGGGUAGAGCACUGUUUCGGCAAGGGGGUCAUCCCGACUUACCAACCCGAUGCAAACUGCGAAUACCGGAGAAUGUUAUCACGGGAGACACACGGCGGGUGCUAACGUCCGUCGUGAAGAGGGAAACAACCCAGACCGCCAGCUAAGGUCCCAAAGUCAUGGUUAAGUGGGAAACGAUGUGGGAAGGCCCAGACAGCCAGGAUGUUGGCUUAGAAGCAGCCAUCAUUUAAAGAAAGCGUAAUAGCUCACUGGUCGAGUCGGCCUGCGCGGAAGAUGUAACGGGGCUAAACCAUGCACCGAAGCUGCGGCAGCGACGCUUAUGCGUUGUUGGGUAGGGGAGCGUUCUGUAAGCCUGUGAAGGUGUGCUGUGAGGCAUGCUGGAGGUAUCAGAAGUGCGAAUGCUGACAUAAGUAACGAUAAAGCGGGUGAAAAGCCCGCUCGCCGGAAGACCAAGGGUUCCUGUCCAACGUUAAUCGGGGCAGGGUGAGUCGACCCCUAAGGCGAGGCCGAAAGGCGUAGUCGAUGGGAAACAGGUUAAUAUUCCUGUACUUGGUGUUACUGCGAAGGGGGGACGGAGAAGGCUAUGUUGGCCGGGCGACGGUUGUCCCGGUUUAAGCGUGUAGGCUGGUUUUCCAGGCAAAUCCGGAAAAUCAAGGCUGAGGCGUGAUGACGAGGCACUACGGUGCUGAAGCAACAAAUGCCCUGCUUCCAGGAAAAGCCUCUAAGCAUCAGGUAACAUCAAAUCGUACCCCAAACCGACACAGGUGGUCAGGUAGAGAAUACCAAGGCGCUUGAGAGAACUCGGGUGAAGGAACUAGGCAAAAUGGUGCCGUAACUUCGGGAGAAGGCACGCUGAUAUGUAGGUGAAGUCCCUUGCGGAUGGAGCUGAAAUCAGUCGAAGAUACCAGCUGGCUGCAACUGUUUAUUAAAAACACAGCACUGUGCAAACACGAAAGUGGACGUAUACGGUGUGACGCCUGCCCGGUGCCGGAAGGUUAAUUGAUGGGGUCAGCGCAAGCGAAGCUCUUGAUCGAAGCCCCGGUAAACGGCGGCCGUAACUAUAACGGUCCUAAGGUAGCGAAAUUCCUUGUCGGGUAAGUUCCGACCUGCACGAAUGGCGUAAUGAUGGCCAGGCUGUCUCCACCCGAGACUCAGUGAAAUUGAACUCGCUGUGAAGAUGCAGUGUACCCGCGGCAAGACGGAAAGACCCCGUGAACCUUUACUAUAGCUUGACACUGAACAUUGAGCCUUGAUGUGUAGGAUAGGUGGGAGGCUUUGAAGUGUGGACGCCAGUCUGCAUGGAGCCGACCUUGAAAUACCACCCUUUAAUGUUUGAUGUUCUAACGUUGACCCGUAAUCCGGGUUGCGGACAGUGUCUGGUGGGUAGUUUGACUGGGGCGGUCUCCUCCUAAAGAGUAACGGAGGAGCACGAAGGUUGGCUAAUCCUGGUCGGACAUCAGGAGGUUAGUGCAAUGGCAUAAGCCAGCUUGACUGCGAGCGUGACGGUGCGAGCAGGUGCGAAAGCAGGUCAUAGUGAUCCGGUGGUUCUGAAUGGAAGGGCCAUCGCUCAACGGAUAAAAGGUACUCCGGGGAUAACAGGCUGAUACCGCCCAAGAGUUCAUAUCGACGGCGGUGUUUGGCACCUCGAUGUCGGCUCAUCACAUCCUGGGGCUGAAGUAGGUCCCAAGGGUAUGGCUGUUCGCCAUUUAAAGUGGUACGCGAGCUGGGUUUAGAACGUCGUGAGACAGUUCGGUCCCUAUCUGCCGUGGGCGCUGGAGAACUGAGGGGGGCUGCUCCUAGUACGAGAGGACCGGAGUGGACGCAUCACUGGUGUUCGGGUUGUCAUGCCAAUGGCACUGCCCGGUAGCUAAAUGCGGAAGAGAUAAGUGCUGAAAGCAUCUAAGCACGAAACUUGCCCCGAGAUGAGUUCUCCCUGACCCUUUAAGGGUCCUGAAGGAACGUUGAAGACGACGACGUUGAUAGGCCGGGUGUGUAAGCGCAGCGAUGCGUUGAGCUAACCGGUACUAAUGAACCGUGAGGCUUAACCUU